AUGGGUGCCCAUGAGCCGUAUUCACCUUGUCCAUCAGAGAGAGAUGGAGCACACCUUGAAAGGCAGCCCAAGAAUCUCAUUCUAGAUAUCAUCAGGCUGCUCGAGUUUUACACUUACAAUUUGGAAUAACAAGAGAGGAAAGUAGGAGCAUUGUAAAAACCUGUACAGCUUGUCUUCCUUUCCACGUUCCUACACUACUUCGAGAGAAGAACUCUUGUGGUUUGAGAGACAGUGAAAUUUGGCAAAUGGAUUUGACCCUUUAUAAAUCUUUUUCGUCUGUCUUUUAUCCGUGUUGUAGACACUUUUCAGGAUUCACUUUGCAAUAGCAGCAGCAAAAGAGACAAGGCGAGUGGUCACUGAAUUCCUUAUACAAGCAUUGCAAUUAUGGGUGCACCACAAGCAAUGAAAACAGACAAUGGACCUGUAUAUACUAAUAAACAUUUUGCACACUUUUGUGCACAGUGUAAGAUUUUACACACCACUACCAUACCUUUUAAUCCUCAAGUACAGGCAAUAGUAGAGAAGAGAAACAAAGACAUAAAGAUGUCCUCCAAAAACAAAAGAAAGGGGGAGCCACAGGCAACCUAGAGAACUUGUCAAUCUAGCUCUUUAUAUUAUUUCUUGAUUUUUGACAAGGUGCAUUGGCUCUGGCAGGCAGGUUUUAUAACCCACCAGAAGGGCAGUGUCCAGUGCGAGCAGCUCCACUAUCUAAAUAAUCGCCAGGUGAUGUGGAGAGGCCCAGAAAGUGGUGAAUGGAAGGGACGGAUAGAUAAACUGCUUAGGGGAGAGGGUUUGCUUGUAUCUCCACAAAUGGAGAAGGAAUCAGAUGGGUCCCAAUGAGCCGUAUUCACCUUGUCCAUCAGAGAGAGAUGGAGCACACCUUGAAAGGAAGUACACCCAAGAAACUUCUGGUGGUUCCAUUGCUGACUGUGCUCAUCACUGAAUGAGCAUAGCAGUUAUGGCGUUUGACUCAUGUACAUCAAAAAUUAUAGAACUUCAAAAUUCUCAGGAAUCAUUGGAUUCUCUGAGACAUGAUAAGACUGUUGCAGGACUUCUCUACUAUUGUGUGUACUUGAAUCAUUGGAUUCCCUAACACAUAAAAAGACUGUUGCAGGACUUCAAAAACUUGUGGGAAUCACUGGGUCCCCUGACAUGUGAAGCAAUGGACAAUAGAUUGAUUUUGGACUCUCUCUUGGCUGCUGAAGAAGGCGUUUGUGUGACUGUUGUUUACAUACCCUCUUCUAGGACUUCUGAAAAUCUUUUACAACACUAUGUUGAUUCAUGUUGUUAUAUCACUACUUGCAUGUACAAUUGAUGUCUGUUGCACCACAAUGAGCCUGCACUGGUUGUGGGGAGUGUCAUCACUACUAGCCUGUGUGUUAUUGAUAUGUGCUUGUGUAACACCUCCCAUGCUGAUGGGUUUGUGCAUACCUGAUUCUAAUAAAAUCCUUCAGCCCAGAAA